GAUAUGAGACCUGCAUCAUGAUCUGAAGACUUUCCGUUCCUACUUCUUUGCUCCUCCCCAUCAUUUGCAGGAAAGAAGCCUAAAAAUAAAAUGAUGGUGCCGAUCUGUUAGUUCACACUGAGAAAUGGAUAAGCAGGCCUCUCCUCCCUGAGCCAGCGCACACACGCUGCCAAGAAGCCCUAUGAUUUCGCCAAAGAAGAAACAACAAUGAUUGUAUCUCUUUUUUUGAAGAAAGAAAGAAAUUUUAGACCUUCAGUAACAAGGU